AGAGAUGUGUGAUGACGCAUAUCAAUAAGCGGAGGAAAAGAAACUAACAAGGAUUCCCUUAGUAACGGCGAGUGAAGCGGGAAGAGCUCAAAUUUGAAAUCUUCAAGGUUCUACCUUGACGAAUUGUAGUUUAAAGAAGUGUUUUCUGUUGGAGUUUUGGUAAAAGUUCUUUGGAAUAGGACAUCAUAGAGGGUGAGAAUCCCGUAUUUGACCAUUUCUUCCAGCUGUGUGAUACACUUUCAAAGAGUCGGAUUGUUUGGGAAUGCAGUCCAAAAUGGGUGGUAAAUUUCAUCUAAAGCUAAAUAUUGGCGAGAGACCGAUAGCGAACAAGUACCGUGAGGGAAAGAUGAAAAGAACUUUGAAAAGAGAGUUAAACAGUACGUGAAAUUGUCAAAAGGGAAGCGUUUGACACCAGUGUUGUUUUUCCGAAAAUCAAUUACGAAUGUUUUGUUUUUGAGAAGUUAUGACUUCAUCGGCUUGCUUUUCUCUUUACGAAACUUUCUUAAUGCACUUUUCGGUUAACAAGUCAACAUCAAUUUCUUUUGUUGUAAAAGGGUAUGAGGAAGGUGGCUUUCUUUUCGGAGAAAGUGUUUAUAGCCUUGUACCUCUGCAAUCGGAGAGAUUGAGGUCUGCAGCGUAGAUCCUUCGGGGUUAGAUACAUUUGUGCUAAGUUAUAGCUUUUCAUAGACAACUUGUUGACUAUGUUAAGUCUUGUAGCUUACUCGCUUACUGCUAUUUUACCUACGCUUAGGAUGUUACAGCAGUAUAGACUGU
rnacentral:rRNA from 1 species